UGUUUGAUUCUAUGCAAAUUCAGUGACCUUCCUUGUUAUCAGCUAUAAAAACUUUACAUCAGACUGUCAGUGGAGUUCACAGCACGUCAGUUUCACUGUAAACCAUGUUUUCUGUAGCUCUGUUGCUGCUGUUGGCAGCUGGAUCCUGUGUGAAGUGUGAGCAGUUGACACAACCAGCCUCUGUGACUGUGCAGCCAGGUCAACGUCUGACCAUCACCUGUCAGGUCUCUUAUUCUGUUAGCAGCUACUACACAGCUUGGAUCAGACAGCCUGCAGGGAAAGGACUGGAGUGGAUUAGUAGUGACACAGAUGUCAAAGAUUCGCUAAAGAACAAGUUCAGUGUCAUCUUAGACUCUUCCAGCAACACAGUGACUCUAAACGGACAGAAUGUGCAGCCUGAAGACACUGCUGUGUAUUACUGUGCCAGAGACCCACAAUAA